CCUACGGGAGGCAGCAGUGAGGCAUAUUGGUCAAUGGACGAGAGUCUGAACCAGCCAAGUAGCGUGAAGGAUGACUGCCCUAUGGGUUGUAAAGAUCUGUCAGUGGGGACGAAACUUGACGGUACCCACAGAGGAAGCACCGGCUAACUCCGUGCCAGCAGCCGCGGUAAUACGGGGGGUGCAAGCGUUGUCCGGAAUCAUUGGGCGUAAAGAGUUCGUAGGCGGCACGUAAAGUCUGGUGUUAAAGGCAGAGGCUCAACUUCUGUACGGCACUGGAUACUUGCGAGCGAGAAUGCGGUAGAGGUAAAGGGAAUUCCUGGUGUAGCGGUGAAAUGCUUAGAUAUCAGGAGGAACAUCGGUGGCGUAAGCGCUUUACUGGGCCGUAAUUGACGCUGAGGAACGAAAGCCAGGGUAGCAAAUGGGAUUAGAUACCCGAGUAGUC
rnacentral:rRNA from 1 species